ACGAACGCUGGCGGCGUGCCUAAUACAUGCAAGUCGAACGAAACUUUCUUACACCGAAUGCUUGCAUUCACCGUAAGAAGUUGAGUGGCGGACGGGUGAGUAACACGUGGGUAACCUGCCUAAAAGAAGGGGAUAACACUUGGAAACAGGUGCUAAUACCGUAUAUCUCUAAGGAUCGCAUGAUCCUUAGAUGAAAGAUGGUUCUGCUAUCGCUUUUAGAUGGACCCGCGGCGUAUUAACUAGUUGGUGGGGUAACGGCCUACCAAGGUGAUGAUACGUAGCCGAACUGAGAGGUUGAUCGGCCACAUUGGGACUGAGACACGGCCCAAACUCCUACGGGAGGCAGCAGUAGGGAAUCUUCCACAAUGGACGCAAGUCUGAUGGAGCAACGCCGCGUGAGUGAAGAAGGUCUUCGGAUCGUAAAACUCUGUUGUUAGAGAAGAACACGAGUGAGAGUAACUGUUCAUUCGAUGACGGUAUCUAACCAGCAAGUCACGGCUAACUACGUGCCAGCAGCCGCGGUAAUACGUAGGUGGCAAGCGUUGUCCGGAUUUAUUGGGCGUAAAGGGAACGCAGGCGGUCUUUUAAGUCUGAUGUGAAAGCCUUCGGCUUAACCGGAGUAGUGCAUUGGAAACUGGAAGACUUGAGUGCAGAAGAGGAGAGUGGAACUCCAUGUGUAGCGGUGAAAUGCGUAGAUAUAUGGAAGAACACCAGUGGCGAAAGCGGCUCUCUGGUCUGUAACUGACGAUGAGGUUCGAAAGCGUGGGUAGUAAACAGGAUUAGAUACCCUGGUAGUCCACGGCGUAAACGAUGAAUGCUAGGUGUUGGAGGGUUUCCGCCCUUCAGUGCCGCAGCUAACGCAAUAAGCAUUCCGCCUGGGGAGUACGACCGCAAGGUUGAAACUCAAAGGAAUUGACGGGGGCCCGCACAAGCGGUGGAGCAUGUGGUUUAAUUCGAAGCAACGCGAAGAACCUUACCAGGUCUUGACAUCCUUUGACCACCUAAGAGAUUAGGCUUUCCCUUCGGGGACAAAGUGACAGGUGGUGCAUGGCUGUCGUCAGCUCGUGUCGUGAGAUGUUGGGUUAAGUCCCGCAACGAGCGCAACCCUUGUUGUCAGUUGCCAGCAUUAAGUUGGGCACUCUGGCGAGACUGCCGGUGACAAACCGGAGGAAGGUGGGGACGACGUCAAGUCAUCAUGCCCCUUAUGACCUGGGCUACACACGUGCUACAAUGGACGGUACAACGAGUCGCGAGACCGCGAGGUUUAGCUAAUCUCUUAAAGCCGUUCUCAGUUCGGAUUGUAGGCUGCAACUCGCCUACAUGAAGUCGGAAUCGCUAGUAAUCGCGAAUCAGCAUGUCGCGGUGAAUACGUUCCCGGGCCUUGUACACACCGCCCGUCACACCAUGAGAGUUUGUAACACCCAAAGCCGGUGGGGUAACCGCAAGGAGCCAGCCGUCUAAGGUGGGACAGAUGAUUGGGGUG
rnacentral:rRNA from 1 species